rnacentral:rRNA from 1 species
CCUACGGAGGGUUGCAGUGAGGAAUAUUGGUCAAUGGGCGGGAGCCUGAACCAGCCAAGUCGCGUGAGGGAAGACGGUCCUAUGGAUUGUAAACCUCUUUAGGCGGGGAGCAAUGCCGGGCACGUGUGCCCGGAGGGAGAGUACCCGCAGAAUAAGCACCGGCUAACUCCGUGCCAGCAGCCGCGGUAAUACGGAGGAUGCGAGCGUUAUCCGGAUUUAUUGGGUUUAAAGGGUGCGUAGGCGGAUUUUUAAGUCAGCGGUAAAAUGGCCGGGCUCAACCCGGGCCGGCGGUUGCAACUGGGGAUGUUGAGUGGGAGAGAAAUAUGCGGAGUGCGUGGUGUAGCGGUGAGAUGCAUAGAUAUCACGCAGA